UACGUAGGGGGCAAGCGUUGUCCGGAAUUACUGGGCGUAAAGCGCGUGUAGGCGGGACGGUUAGUCGGACGUGAAAGGCUGGGGCUCAACCCCAGAUCGCCGUUCGAAACUGCCGUUCUUGAGGGUCGAAGAGGAGAGUGGAAUCCUGGUGUAGCGGUGAAAUGCGUAGAGAUCAGGAGGAACACCCAUGGCGAAGGCAGC
rnacentral:rRNA from 1 species